rnacentral:rRNA from 1 species
GACGAACGCUGGCGGCGUGCUUAACACAUGCAAGUCGAACGGAAAGGCCCUGCUUUUGUGGGGUGCUCGAGUGGCGAACGGGUGAGUAACACGUGAGUAACCUGCCCUUGACUUUGGGAUAACUUCAGGAAACUGGGGCUAAUACCGGAUAGGAGCUCCUGCUGCAUGGUGGGGGUUGGAAAGUUUCGGCGGUUGGGGAUGGACUCGCGGCUUAUCAGCUUGUUGGUGGGGUAGUGGCUUACCAAGGCUUUGACGGGUAGCCGGCCUGAGAGGGUGACCGGCCACAUUGGGACUGAGAUACGGCCCAGACUCCUACGGGAGGCAGCAGUGGGGAAUAUUGCACAAUGGGCGGAAGCCUGAUGCAGCAACGCCGCGUGCGGGAUGACGGCCUUCGGGUUGUAAACCGCUUUCGCCUGUGACGAAGCGUGAGUGACGGUAAUGGGUAAAGAAGCACCGGCUAACUACGUGCCAGCAGCCGCGGUGAUACGUAGGGUGCGAGCGUUGUCCGGAUUUAUUGGGCGUAAAGGGCUCGUAGGUGGUUGAUCGCGUCGGAAGUGUAAUCUUGGGGCUUAACCCUGAGCGUGCUUUCGAUACGGGUUGACUUGAGGAAGGUAGGGGAGAAUGGAAUUCCUGGUGGAGCGGUGGAAUGCGCAGAUAUCAGGAGGAACACCAGUGGCGAAGGCGGUUCUCUGGGCCUUUCCUGACGCUGAGGAGCGAAAGCGUGGGGAGCGAACAGGCUUAGAUACCCUGGUAGUCCACGCUGUAAACGGUGGGUACUAGGUGUGGGGUCCAUUCCACGGGUUCCGUGCCGUAGCUAACGCUUUGAGUACCCCGCCUGGGGAGUACGGCCGCAAGGCUAAAACUCAAAGGAAUUGACGGGGCCCCGCACAAGCGGCGGAGCAUGCGGAUUAAUUCGAUGCAACGCGUAGAACCUUACCUGGGUUUGACAUGGGUCGGGAGUGCUCAGAGAUGGGUGUGCCUCUUUUGGGGUCGGUUCACAGGUGGUGCAUGGCUGUCGUCAGCUCGUGUCGUGAGAUGUUGGGUUAAGUCCCGCAACGAGCGCAACCCUUGUUCACUGUUGCCAGCACGUUAUGGUGGGGACUCAGUGGAGACCGCCGGGGUCAACUCGGAGGAAGGUGGGGAUGACGUCAAGUCAUCAUGCCCCUUAUGUCCAGGGCUUCACGCAUGCUACAAUGGCUGGUACAGAGAGUGGCGAGCCUGUGAGGGUGAGCGAAUCUCGGAAAGCCGGUCUCAGUUCGGAUUGGGGUCUGCAACUCGACCUCAUGAAGUCGGAGUCGCUAGUAAUCGCAGAUCAGCAACGCUGCGGUGAAUACGUUCCCGGG